rnacentral:rRNA from 1 species
GACGAACGCUGGCGGCGUGCUUAACACAUGCAAGUCGAACGGAAAGGCCCUGCUUUUGUGGGGUGCUCGAGUGGCGAACGGGUGAGUAACACGUGAGUAACCUGCCCUUGACUUUGGGAUAACUUCAGGAAACUGGGGCUAAUACCGGAUAGGAGCUCCUGCUGCAUGGUGGGGGUUGGAAAGUUUCGGCGGUUGGGGAUGGACUCGCGGCUUAUCAGCUUGUUGGUGGGGUAGUGGCUUACCAAGGCUUUGACGGGUAGCCGGCCUGAGAGGGUGACCGGCCACAUGGGGACUGAGAUACGGCCCAGACUCCUACGGGAGGCAGCAGUGGGGAAUAUUGCAAAAUGGGCGGAAGCCUGAUGCAGCAACGCCGCGUGCGGGAUGACGGCCUUCGGGUUGUAAACCGCUUUCGCCUGUGACGAAGCGUGAGUGACGGUAAUGGGUAAAGAAGCACCGGCUAACUACG